UCAUCGCUAUGAUCGGGCGCCUCCAGGGCGCAGGCGGGUGGCUGUGCGCUGUCGCUGUCCUCACCCCCACUCCUCCCCGGAAACCCAAGACAAACCAAAGCAACAGCUGAGCAUGCCUUGGGCCUGGGUGCUGAGAGGAGCUUCAACAAUAGAAUGCCAGAGGGCAGACAAUGGCCUCUCUGUCGGUGCAGCUGUCCCCGCCAAACAAGCAGCUGACCCAGCGUAGCCAGGAGUGGGGCAGCUGGCAUCUCCGCGGCUCCUGGAGGGCGCGGUGAAGGGGAAGAGCACACAUUCAAGCAGGGCCCUCCAGGGUUUGUUCAUUUGUGUCCUGUGUGACUGAGGAGGGAGGUGGUCUGAGGAACCCCAGGGGCUUGGGAACACCUUCAGACCACACCAGACUGGACCCCUAUGCACACCCUCACCUGUGGGAGAAAUGUUCUUCAUACUGAGGGUGUGUGUUGUGUGUCGGGGGUGGGGGGAAUCUCUGUUACAGCAUCUGGGCCUGUCUGCUCACUAAGACUAUGCACAGGGGCCUCUGAAUGAAGACAGCAGGCAAGAUCUGGAAGCCUUUGUCGAGCUCACAGUUUAGUGGGAAAACUAAACCUUCAACUAGGAAACAAUCUUAACUACAAAAUGUGGCAAAUGAUGCAAAAGGCACAGCCUGAGGUGGCGGGAGAGAAUGAUGUUUAGAUGCUGCUCAGGAAGGCCCCUACAAAGAGGGCUCUGUCAAUGUGAUUUUAGUGCCAGUUUCUUUGCUCUUACAACCAGAGAUCUUCGGUGCAUCUGAAUGAGUCAUAGAGUCAGUUAGAAACAGAAGCCCUGGGUCAAAGGCCAGCCCAGGUACGUCCUCAUGGCGGUGGCAAGAGGCCAAGUUAAAAUGAGCAAGGGUUUUUGCAAGCUUCUGCUUGUAUGAAGUCUCCCUCCGUUCCAUUUGCCUAAGUCAGUCCAGCCAGCUUGAGACAACACUACCAAAGGCCGUGAAUAUUGGGGAGCAAGAAAAAUCGGGACCAUUAUUUUAGUGUACGUCAAGCUUCACCCUCAGCAGAUGGGAAUGUGUUCUCCACAGCAACCAGCAAGGGCCACUCCCAGGCCCAGAUGGCACAAGGUGACAUCUCAGUGGAGGCUGCCGACCUGGCCCCAACAAAUGACUUGGCACGACAUUUAAUUCCCCUGGAAAGUGGGUGCACCCUGGGGAUAGGAAGAGGAGAAUCAUCAAAUUGCUACCCUAGAGGAUUGGGGUCUGAACACAGAAAUUAAGUUGGAAGGUGACAAAGAAAGUUACCAUUCUUGCACUCCUGAGUUAAUAGGCUAGAAUUUGAAUCCACUGCAAAUGGGAGAAUCAUUCGUCUCCAGUGGAAGGGGGAGAGGGCAAUAAAACCGGAACGCUGUGAAAAUGUUUCCCUGUUGAAGGGAAAGAAUCCUCCCACUCUCUUGGAAUCACCCAUUUGGGGGCGAGCAUAGGGUCCUUUAAUUAAGGGUCCUUAGGUAUCAACCAGCAUAAUGUCCGUAUUUCCUAGCCCAGGAAACAGGAGCUCGGGGAGGUUAAAUGACUUGUUUGAACCCCACUGUGAGCUAAUGCAGGCAGCGAGAACCUGAGCCUGUGCUUCUCCACUGCACUGGGCUGCUGCUGGGGUUUGCUGCAAACAGUCAAAUUGCUUCUUAAUUGGAGUCUCCUGCUUAAUUAGCUGCUUCCUGAGCAGCCUGUGCUCCCUGUUCGGAAAUCUCAAUCAACACCAUCUUCUCUAAAUUGGUGUGA